GGGUGGUACACCGUAGUGCGGAGCUGCUGGACCUUCAGGAGUUUGCAGAGGUCCGCCAUCAUCCGGGACAUGAACGGGGUGCCCUGGUCAGUCAGUAUCUGGGAUGGGAUGCCGACCCGACUACACAGCAGGAAGAGCUCCUGGGCGAUGGCUUUGGUAGUGGCCUUGCGGAGGGGAAUGGCCUCAGGGUAGCGGGUGGCAUAAUCCACGAUGACCAGGAUGUGUUCAUGCCCCCGGGCGGACUUCGGCAGCAGCCCCACUAAGUCCAUUCCGAUCCGCUCGAAGGGCACCUCAAUGAUGGGCAGCGGUAUCAGCGGGCUGGGGGGAGGGGUCCGUGGUGAGGUCUGCGGGCAGGUUGGGCAGGCUUGGCAGAACCGCCGGACUUCGACCUCUAGGCCCGGCCAGUGGAACCGGUCACGGAGGCGCUGGACGGUGUUCUGUACUCCUAGGUGUCCUGCCAUGGGAUGUGCGUGGGCUAUCUCCAUCACCGUUCCGGUCUUGCUGCGCGGAACAACCAGGAGCGUCUUUUCCUCCCCCCUCCGCUGUGCGACACAGUACAGCAGGCCAUUUUUCACUAUAAAGUGAGGGGUGGGGUGAGGUGCCGGUUGGAUUUCUUUUCUGUCCACCACUCUCACUUGACCCCAGCAGUGUUUUAACCGGUCGUCCGCGUGCUGCUCUUUGGAGAACCCUCCAGCCCCCGUCACCUGUUGGUACAGGUCAUAAUAAAGGUUAGGAGUUGGAAGGGGUGACUCACCAUCUCUGGGGCUGUCUGAGGCCGGCAGCACGGGACGCCGUCGGGUCCUCUUGCUGGGCUUCCGGGAUGGGCGGUUCCUGGCCGGGCCGGCAGGCUGAGUGACGGAGGCGAGCAACUGGAGGACCGGUACCGGCAGAUCCUUGACCAGUCCGACAUCUAUGGGCCAGGCGCCGGGCGGCGCAGCGAUGGUAACCCAUCGUGCCGGCACGUCCCUGGUGUCGCCGUGCACACAGGUGAUGGAGAGCUUCGUUUUGGCUUCAGGCCGCGGGGGCAACACCGCCGUCUUCUCCCUGUGCACGGCGCAGCCUGCCAGCCAAGGUCGUGGCGGAGAACGGGGUGCCUCGGUGGGCAUGGGCUCAUCUCGAGGGCCGGGAACCGCCGGCCUGCUCACCGGUCGCUGGGUGCCCUCCGGCGUGCGCCGCUCCUGGACCACCCUUCGGGGAAACGGCGGCGCUCUCUCCCCAACCUCCCGGUGUUGGUUGUUCGCUAGGUUCCGCAUGCCGGCUGCCUGACGUAGCGGGCAAGGAAGGGCCCGCAGGAGGCGAUCCACGACGACAUGCUCCGCUACCUGGUGUGCGUUGGGACCCCCGGCCAGUAACCAGUGCUGCGCGAGACGGGAGAGAUUGGCCGCCUGAGCUCGGGCCGGCUGUCGUGGGUCGAAAACCCAUUCAUUAAAGAGCUGAGCGGCGCUGAUCGGUGAGAGUCCCAUCCGGCCCAGGAUUUCCUUUUUCAACUCCUCGUAAGACUCGUUGAGCUCUGGGGGAAGCGUGAAAUAAGCCCGCUGGGCCUCUCCC
ensembl:lncRNA